AAAAAGAAAAAAAAACAAACACCCCUUUUUUGCUCUGCUAGGGUUUCACCCUUAGCGUCCUCGCGCCGCCGUUUCCCAUGCCAAAACCUCCCUCAAACGCCGAUUGCAACGGAGCGAUGAGGGAUCGAAGGCGCCAAUAUAAGGUAAACUUACCCUUUUAUUUCUUUUCCUUGAAUAAACAAUAGAUAUUAACAAAAAAUCAAUUGUAGAAAUAAAAACAAGAGAAAACGCUACAAUGGUAAAUCACCUUCUGCUUUGGUUUCUAUUUUCCCUUGUAUUUUCUCUCUUGUUAGUGUCUAUUCCCCCCCUUUUACAGAUUAAAAUCGGGCUUUUAUAGCCGAAAUAGAAAAGAAGAAAAUCUAAAAAUCAAAGAUCAAUCAUUUCUGUUAUUUUAUCCGUAUUUUGUAGCCCAAUUUUUUGCACUUUGUUCUGUGUUUGUUGCUGCAGGUACUGCUGGAGGCGUGCACGCGACGUUUGCGGAGGUGCGCGAAGAGGGCAGUAGUUGCGGCGGCUAAGGCUGGAGGCUACUAGGGUUUUUUGUGUGUGUGUGUGUUUUAGGCUAAUGGGCUAGGGUUGGGUGUUGGGCUAUUCUAGGUUUAGUUGGGCCCGGGCAUUGUUGGGUUUGUACAUUAGUAAAAAUAAAACACAGAUUUGAACAUUAGAGACAACGUUGUUGGGAGGGAUAACCACAAACUUCGAACAUGGACCAUGAAACGAAUAUAAAACAUAUUAAAAAAAAAAGAAAAGAAUCAUAAUAGGAUGGAAUGAUAUUGUUAAGAUGAAUAGUCAUGAAUCUCGAACAUAGACCAUAAAACGAGUAUUAAGUAGAUUGGAAAAAAAAAAGAAAAAGGGUAAAGAUGUGUGUGUGGGGAGUUUUUGGCAUGUGUGGC
rnacentral:lncRNA from 1 species